GAUGAACGCUGGCGGCGUGCCUAAUACAUGCAAGUCGAGCGAACAGACGAGGAGCUUGCUCCUCUGACGUUAGCGGCGGACGGGUGAGUAACACGUGGAUAACCUACCUAUAAGACUGGGAUACUUCGGGAAACCGGAGCUAAUACCGGAUAAUAUAUUGAACCGCAUGGUUCAAUAGUGAAAGACGGUUUUGCUGUCACUUAUAGAUGGAUCCGCGCCGCAUUAGCUAGUUGGUAAGGUAACGGCUUACCAAGGCAACGAUGCGUAGCCGACCUGAGAGGGUGAUCGGCCACACUGGAACUGAGACACGGUCCAGACUCCUACGGGAGGCAGCAGUAGGGAAUCUUCCGCAAUGGGCGAAAGCCUGACGGAGCAACGCCGCGUGAGUGAUGAAGGUCCUCGGAUCGUAAAACUCUGUUAUUAGGGAAGAACAAAUGUGUAAGUAACUAUGCACGUCUUGACGGUACCUAAUCAGAAAGCCACGGCUAACUACGUG
rnacentral:rRNA from 1 species